AGAGUUUGAUCCUGGCUCAGAUUGAACGCUAGCGGGAUGCCUUACACAUGCAAGUCGAACGGCAGCACGGACUUCGGUCUGGUGGCGAGUGGCGAACGGGUGAGUAAUGUAUCGGAACGUGCCCAGUAGCGGGGGAUAACUACGCGAAAGCGUAGCUAAUACCGCAUACGCCCUACGGGGGAAAGCAGGGGAUCGCAAGACCUUGCACUAUUGGAGCGGCCGAUAUCGGAUUAGCUAGUUGGUGGGGUAACGGCUCACCAAGGCGACGAUCCGUAGCUGGUUUGAGAGGACGACCAGCCACACUGGGACUGAGACACGGCCCAGACUCCUACGGGAGGCAGCAGUGGGGAAUUUUGGACAAUGGGGGAAGCCCUGAUCCAGCCAUCCCGCGUGUGCGAUGAAGGCCUUCGGGUUGUAAAGCACUUUUGGCAGGAAAGAAACGUCGUGGGUUAAUACCCCGCGAAACUGACGGGACCUGCAGAAUAAGCACCGGCUAACUACGUGCCAGCAGCCGCGGCAAUACGUAGGGUGCAAGCGUUAAUCGGAAUUACUGGGCGUAAAGCGUGCGCAGGCGGUUCGGAAAGAAAGAUGUGAAAUCCCAGAGCUUAACUUUGGAACUGCAUUUUUAACUACCGGGCUAGAGUGUGUCAGAGGGAGGUGGAAUUCCGCGUGUAGCAGUGAAAUGCGUAGAUAUGCGGAG
rnacentral:rRNA from 1 species